UACGUCGGGGGCAAGCGUUGUCCGGAUUUCUUGGGCGUAAAGAGCGUGUAGGCGGCCAGAUAGGUCUGUUGUGAAAACUCGAGGCUCAACCUCGAGACGCCGAUGGAAACCAUUUGGCUAGAGUCCGGAAGAGGAGAGUGGAAUUCCUGGUGUAGCGGUGAAAUGCGCAGAUAUCAGGAAGAACACCCGUGGCUAAGGCGGCUCUCUAGUACGGUACUGACGCUGAGACGCGAAAGCGUGGGGAGCGAACAGG
rnacentral:rRNA from 1 species